GAUGAACGCUGGCGGCGUGCUUAACACAUGCAAGUCGAACGGAAAGGCCCAAGCUUGCUUGGGUACUCGAGUGGCGAACGGGUGAGUAACACGUGGGUGAUCUGCCCUGCACUUCGGGAUAAGCCUGGGAAACUGGGUCUAAUACCGGAUAGGACGAUGGUUUGGAUGCCAUUGUGGAAAGUUUUUUCGGUGUGGGAUGAGCUCGCGGCCUAUCAGCUUGUUGGUGGGGUAAUGGCCUACCAAGGCGUCGACGGGUAGCCGGCCUGAGAGGGUGUACGGCCACAUUGGGACUGAGAUACGGCCCAGACUCCUACGGGAGGCAGCAGUGGGGAAUAUUGCACAAUGGGAGCAAGCCUGAUGCAGCGACGCCGCGUGGGGGAUGACGGCCUUCGGGUUGUAAACUCCUUUCGCUAGGGACGAAGCGUUUUUGUGACGGUACCUGGAGAAGAAGCACCGGCUAACUACGUG
rnacentral:rRNA from 1 species